rnacentral:rRNA from 1 species
UACGGAGGGUGCAAACGUUGCUCGGAAUCAUUGGGCGUAAAGCGCACGUAGGCGGUCCGCUAAGUCGGGUGUGAAAUCCCUCGGCUCAACCGAGGAAGUGCAUUCGAAACUGACGGACUUGAGUAUGGAAGAGGGUCGUGGAAUUCCCGGUGUAGAGGUGAAAUUCGUAGAUAUCGGGAGGAACACCAGUGGCGAAGGCGGCGACCUGGGCCAAUAUUGACGCUGAGGUGCGAAAGCGUGGGGAGCAAACAGG